rnacentral:rRNA from 1 species
UGGGGAAUCUUGGACAAUGGGCGCAAGCCUGAUCCAGCCAUGCCGCGUGAGUGAUGAAGGCCUUAGGGUUGUAAAGCUCUUUUGCCGGGGACGAUAAUGACGGUACCCGGAGAAUAAGUCCCGGCUAACUUCGUGCCAGCAGCCGCGGUAAUACGAAGGGGACUAGCGUUGUUCGGAAUCACUGGGCGUAAAGCGCACGUAGGCGGAUUUGUAAGUCAGGGGUGAAAUCCCGGGGCUCAACCUCGGAACUGCCUUUGAUACUGCGGAUCUCGAGUCCGAUAGAGGUGAGUGGAAUUCCUAGUGUAGAGGUGAAAUUCGUAGAUAUUAGGAAGAACACCGGUGGCGAAAGGCGGCUCACUGGAUCGGUAACUGACGCUGAGGUGCGAAAGCGUGGGGAGCAAACAGGAUUAGAUACCCUCGUAGUCCCUGAG